UACGUAGGGUGCGAGCGUUAAUCGGAAUUACUGGGCGUAAAGCGUGCGCAGGCGGUUUUGUAAGCCAGAUGUGAAAUCCCCGGGCUUAACCUGGGAAUGGCAUUUGGGACUGCAAGGCUUGAGUGCGGCAGAGGAGACUGGAAUUCCUGGUGUAGCAGAGAAAUGCGUAGAUAUCAGGAGGAAUACCGAUGGCGAAGGCAGGUCUCUGGGCUGACACUGACGCUCAUGCACGAAAGCGUGGGGAGCAAACAGG
rnacentral:rRNA from 1 species